rnacentral:rRNA from 1 species
UACGUAGGGGGCAAGCGUUGUCCGGAAUCAUUGGGCGUAAAGCGCGUGUAGGCGGCUGAGUAAGUCCGCUCUGAAAGCCCGGGGCUCAACCCCGGGAGGCGGGUGGAUACUGCUCAGCUCGAGUCCGGAAGAGGAGCGUGGAAUUCCUGGUGUAGCGGUGAAAUGCGCAGAUAUCAGGAGGAACACCUAUUGCGAAGGCAGCUCGCUGGGACGUUACUGACGCUGAGACGCGAAAGCGUGGGGAGCAAACAGG